CACGUAGGGGGCAAGCGUUGUCCGGAUUUAUUGGGCGUAAAGAGCUCGUAGGCGGCUUAGUAAGUCGGGUGUGAAACCUCCAGGCUCAACCUGGAGACGCCACCCGAUACUGCUGUGGCUAGAGUCCGGUAGGGGAGCGUGGAAUUCCUGGUGUAGCGGUGAAAUGCGCAGAUAUCGGGAGGAACACCAGUAGCGAAGGCGGCUCGCUGGGCCAUUCCUGACGCUGAGACGCGAAAGCUAGGGGAGCGAACAGG
rnacentral:rRNA from 1 species